rnacentral:rRNA from 1 species
GAGUAUUAAAAGUUAAGAUCUCGAAACUCAAAGAAUUUGGCGGUAUUUUAUCUUAUCAGAGGAACUUGUUUAUUAAUUGAUACUCCACAACUAAAUUUACUUUUACUAUUUUAUUUGUAUACCGCUGUCAUGAAUAUAUUUGUAAAUUAAUUUUUAAAUUUUAUGAAUUUUAUGUUAGGUCAAGGUGCAGUAUGUUAAGAUAAAAAUGAGUUACUAUAAAAACUAUGAAUGUAGAAAUAGGAUUUGAUAGUAAUUAAAUAUAGUAAUUUUAUGAAAAAAGAUUCUAAAAUAUG